AACACAGGACAAUCAGUAAAAUUUUAAUUUCAGACAAAUGAUGAAUAAUUUUUUGGAGGAGUUUUAACCCCUACACCAUUUGGGACAUACUUUUACUAAAAAGUUAUUUCUUGUUCAUAUGAAAUUCAAAUUUAACUGGAUAUCCUAUAUUUU
rnacentral:miRNA from 1 species